UAUGUCAGGGUUCGUUUUUAAUCAUGCCUUCCUCAUUCUAGUGAAUUCAGUCUAUUUUAAGCAGAGGAAUUUAGUCUUGGGUAGUCAUUUAACUAACCAUCCUUUUAUGUUUCUUCUGCAGCAUUGGAAGCAAAGUUGUACUACUUUGUAGCAAAAAUUAUUACAGUCUGUGUUGUCCGUGGAGGAGUUGCCCACCAUUUUUUCUCAGAAGGGCUGUUUCAGCAAUUUGCGGGCUUCCAAAGGCCCCUUUCAGAUCAGAAGUUCUGCAUGAUCACAAACUCCGGGAGCAGCUAAUCAAGGUUUGCAGAGGGCUUCAAGAUUCUGGGGCUACUGAAAGAGCUGCAGAAAAACCCAGCGGUUGUUUCUGACAUGUCCGUGUGUGAGGAGAAAGCCCUCACUGCCAGGGACAUGAGCCACACUUUUCACAGUGGCCUAUUCUGCUCAGGGGAGCAAUCAGCGCGUUCUGGAGAACCAGUUGGUCUGCUUUUGGAGUGACUGGCUGAUUGACAUUGAAGAAGAGGAGGAUGGUCCACCCUCUCUCUUGAUGUUCACCUCUGGAGCCUCUGCCAUCCCUCCACUUGGCUUUUCCUGCCAGCCUGAAAUGCAGUUUCUGCAUGACACCAAGACAAUUUACCCUGAAGCCAAUACUAGUGUUGUUGUCCUGUUGUAUCUGUCGCUGCACUCCUCCUACAAGGCUGUUAGAAUAUACAUGAUGGAGGGAAUUUUGCAAGCUCCGACCUUUGGAGUUUCUUAAAUGAUCACGAAUGUGACUAUGAAAGGUUACGCUGUAAGGUGAUGAUGG